rnacentral:lncRNA from 1 species
UCCAUACGAGCUUUUUCAACAACGGAACAUUUUGAAAAGUUUAUGGAGUAUCAUACGGACCUGGACCUCUUCAGCACAAGCCAGCGUUACUUCCACACAUGAUGACUUCUUGGUCGCUACGGAGUUGCUGUGACUACCUCGUGUAUGUGGCGCUGGCGAAGGUGGUAAUUGUGUGGCGAACCUCUUCUUCUUCUCUUGGUGCCACUUCUGCUACCUAAAUUGCUUACAACCAUUAGGACUUUUUAACAUUUAUUGAAAAGCGUGCUAACAAUUUGCCUCAAGCAGCUACGUACAGUACAGCAACUCUUCAUCAGAAACCAACCCGUCCCGUUAAAGCUCACGUUGCAACGGCGAACUCAUCCCAGAAACGGUGAGAUACAGUUAAGCGGCUCUGUUAUGUUUUAAUUGCCUCAGAGGUGAUCAUGGAUCUCGCGAUUGUAGAAAGGUCCGGUCAUUUCUAAUUAAUGGGGAUCGGACCAUUUUACUAGCGACUGCGUAGGUAAUCCUUAUUGAUCACAACAGAGGACAAUUCGUGGGCUCUCAGGCGUCCAGAGGAGAUACGAAUUGAGGAAAUUGGUUCUAACCCUGCAGUCUACACUAAGGUUCAUAUAACAGUGCAGAUGCACUGCUUUGACAACAGCAGAAACUUCAACCUCAAGGCUUAUGUCGUGCCGACAACUGACAACUGGUACUGACAUCCUAACGGGUCUCUUUCAGAAGGGUGUCAUACAGGGUUCUAGAGCAAUUUUGCGCUUUAAACACCCGACUUGGUUGGGUGGUAUUUGGAUCGGUCGCAAGUUCUGCUCAGUCCACAUUACCUACAUCUCUUACUUCGAAAUGCUUCAACGACGAAGCCAAUAAAGACUUGACAUGUUACAUAGAAGCUUCUGGACACUCGAAAAGCUUAUACUAUCAUCCGAAAUUCACGUGGAUGACUGUGAGAAGAUCUUCAACGACACAGUCACCCGUACAAUAAACGGCAUGUACCAGUAGCAAUUAUUAUUUCUACCAGAUGUUCCUGCUCUUGGGGAAUCUCGUCAAUCGGCAGUUCGCCAGUUUCUAGAACUCUAGCCGCAUUUGAUGAACGCCCCAUGUCUUCGUGAACAGUACAUCGCAUUUAUGUGAGAAUACAUUGCUCUCGGUUAGCAGGCAAGCUUUUACUAACAAAGAAAAUGGAUACUUCAUACCUCAUCAUGCGGCAACCACAAAAUUUCGCGUAGUUCUCAACGCUUCCACGAAGACAUCUAAUUGGGCAUCCUUAAACGAUACACAGUUUUCUGCAAAGUAACCAUCACUGCAGACAUACAGAAGAUGUUCCGACAAAUAGACGACAUCGUAAAUGGCAACGAAUCCUUUAACGUGAAUCGCCAAAUGAACACAUUUCAA